rnacentral:misc_RNA from 1 species
GAUGAAGAACGCAGCGAAAUGCGAUAAGUAAUGUGAAUUGCAGAAUUCAGUGAAUCAUCGAAUCUUUGAACGCACAUUGCGCCAGCCAGUAUUCUGGCGAGCAUGCCUGUUCGAGCGUCAUUUCAACCAUCAAGCCCCAGGCUUGUGUUGGAGCCCUGCGGCUGCCGCAGCCUCCCAAAACCAGUGGCGGGCUCGCUAUCACACCGAGUGCAGUAGUUUACUCUUCGCUCAGGGCGUGUGGCGGGUGCUAGCCGUGAAACCCCCAACUUCUCAAGGUUGACCUCGGAUCAGGUAGGAAUACCCGCUGAACUUAAGCAUAUCAAUAAGCGGAGGA